rnacentral:rRNA from 1 species
CCUACGGGAGGCUGCAGUGGGGAAUCUUCCGCAAUGGACGAAAGUCUGACGGAGCAACGCCGCGUGAGUGAUGACGGCCUUCGGGUUGUAAAGCUCUGUUAAUCGGGACGAAAGGUCUUCUUGCGAAUAGUUAGAAGAAUUGACGGUACCGGAAUAGAAAGCCACGGCUAACUACGUGCCAGCAGCCGCGGUAAUACGUAGGUGGCAAGCGUUGUCCGGAAUUAUUGGGCGUAAAGCGCGCGCAGGCGGAUCAGUCAGUCUGUCUUAAAAGUUCGGGGCUUAACCCCGUGAUGGGAUGGAAACUGCUGAUCUAGAGGAUCGGAGAGGAAAGUGGAAUUCCUAGUGUAGCGGUGAAAUGCGUAGAUAUUAGGAAGAACACCAGUGGCGAAGGCGACUUUCUGGACGAAAACUGACGCUGAGGCGCGAAAGCCAGGGGAGCGAACGGGAUUAGAUACCCUAGUAGUC